ensembl:lncRNA
GUGAGCGGCUCCCGGGAGAGGCUGCAACCUGAGCGGGAGGAGGAGGGGAGGAGGGGAAAGGGGAGGUGGGGAGGAGGGCGGGGAGGAGGGGAGAGCCCAGCCCCCGCCAGAGUUUUUCACACGCACGGCCCGACUCCGCCCCCGGCCCGCCCGCCCGCCCUGCCCACAGCCGCUGCCAAUCCCUGGGGCUCGCUCUGCCCUGGUGCCCACCCCUCUCUCCCAUCUGGAAGCCAGGGUCCAAGCGCCUCUUCCGGUUUCGUCCCUCCGCCUGGCCUCCGUCAGCCCUCUGGGGCUGCCCUGAGCGCCUUGACCCGGGGAUGAGGUCUCCAGACUUGGAGCACCCAGGACUGGGGCCAGGGCACCGGAGAAGUGGGGGGAUUUGCUGAGUGUCCACCUCUCAGUGAAGCUCUCCCAGCCUUCUGGGUCUGACGCUGGAUCCCAGCACCUGGCACCCCAGGAGUUAAUGUGCACAGACGGGUCCCGUUGGUCAUUUUUGCCUUUAGAGUUCUUGACAGCAGCAGUCCUGGCAGGGCUGUCCCUCUGUCCAAUGGGAUUUAUCACUUACCUUCAGCCAAUUCUCUAGGCACAGAAGAUGAAUGAAAUGCAGCCCCGCCCUCAGGGAGCUCACUCUCCCGUGGGGCAGUAAGUGACCAGUUCCUGGGCUGGAGGGCCAAGGUCGGGGUCCAGGGGAAGAGAGACGUGCAGGGGAAGAGAGACGUGCAGAGUAAGAGCUGCACGGCAAGGUGACACGGGGCCCAGGAGAGUCAGGGACACCUUCACAGAGGAGAGGGGACAGCUGAAAUGACGGAGAGUCUGCGACCUGCUCAGAGACUGUCCCGCUGCCCCUGCCCUCUGACACGGCAUUGCAUUUCAGCAUCUUUGAAAUCUUCAGUUUUGAUGGCAAAGCCUUGCUCCUUGCAGUUGGGCGGGGGGAAUGGGCUGUAGAUGGGUGUCUCUGUGGAGUCUGAAUGGCAGCUGGAGCCUCAGCAGCCCCAGGGAAGGGCACGAGCGUAUGGACAGGUCCUGUUACAAGCCAAAGCCUGUCUCCUUGCAGAGAGUCAGACAAGACUCAGCUAGGGGUUUCCCCUGGCACCCCAGCCCCCGGGGCCCCUCUUCUGCAGGCCCCUCUGCUCUGCUAACCUAAAGGGUCUGCGGCUUUCCUGGGGGGCUCUGGUGGCCAAGCAGCGUGACAGAGGGGGCCCAGGGGCAGCCCAGCCCACUCCUUGCCCCAUUCAGUCCCUCCUCCUCCCUGCCAGUGACAAGCCGCUGCCCUGCAGGUAGGACAAGCAUCCCUGCGCCCGGAGGACUGAAUGCAGAAGCUGGAAACAGCUCUCCCUCACAGACUGUGUGGGCAGCUUCUGAAAAACCAAAGUUCAAACCCGCCCCACUUUCUCUUGGGAGGCGCAGCAUCCAGACAGGGAGAGCUCAGCCAGCAGAGAAACCCCCUUCCUGCCCCAGUGCCGCAGGCUCUCCUUUCUGACCCCACCCGUACCCGGGCAGACACAGUCUCCCGAAGCACUGCAGGAACGCUUGGCGGGCCCUGACCUCACUCUGCCCCUAAGGUGCAGAAGUCAUUUCCUUCUCUGGGCCUCAGUUUCCUCCUCUGCAAAAUGGGAAUAAAGUGAAUGCUUGCCUCUCAGAA